rnacentral:rRNA from 1 species
UACGUAGGGGGCAAGCGUUGUCCGGAUUUAUUGGGGCGUAAAGAGCGUGUAGGCGGUCUGGUAGGUCCGUUGUGAAAACUCGAGGCUCAACCUCGAGACGCCGAUGGAAACCAUCAGACUAGAGUCCGGAAGAGGAGAGUGGAAUUCCUGGUGUAGCGGUGAAAUGCGCAGAUAUCAGGAAGAACACCCGUGGCUAAGGCGGCUCUCUAGUACGGUACUGACGCUGAGACGCGAAAGCGUGGGGAGCGAACAGG